CAAGGCGGCGGCGGGGUCGUUUCCGCUCGCACCGCAAACCGCUCCGCCUCGCUAGCUGGGCGAGCCUGCUUAGAGGGACGCCGCAGACGUCCUGGGCCCUGGCGACGUGCGCCUCGCUAGCGCACUUAGUCGGGACAGACGGAACACACCUGGGCUUGGCGUGGCCCUGCCCCGCCCAGCUUAUAAGGUAUCACAAUUGGAAUGAAUAUGAGAGAGAAAGCUGGUAGAUUCAGAAGGAGAGGAUUUGUGAAAUGCAGCAGAAUAAGCACACACAGGUUUCAUUGUGCCCAGAAAUUUUAAACUACCUUUGAAAUUGGAAUCAUCUGUUUUGAGAAUCUGUGCCUUAUUGUAAUAUUCAUGAAAGCCCCGGAAAAGUCUUUGAAUGGUAAAUGCUGGGGAGGAGCAGAUUCCUUGGUGAGGUCUUCGUUUUCAGAGAUCCUUCCGGAAUCACCAGCUGCAAACUGAGUCAGCAGAAUCACCAUAAACCCCAACCCUCUGAUGACAAAACUGAGGCACCAAGAGAUGAAGAAAUUUUUCCAGUGUUAAUGUUGGACUUUUUAGUAAUUAACAGUGCUUUGAUAUUAUAAACAAUGUUGCCAUGAACAUCUUUGUUCAUGUUCUUAAAGAACGUCCUUAGGAGAAAUUCCAAAAAGUAGAACAGCUAGGUCCAAAGGUGUUUACAUUUUUAAAAGCUUUUGUUACAUACUUGCAAAUAUUACCUUUAGGAAGAGUAUAAUAAUUUAUGCUUCGUUCAAGAUGUGAAUAUACGACUCCCCAUGUCCCUUCUUCUUUCUCAUCCUUGUCUGAAUGACAAAAAUGUACCCAAAUGCUCCUUAAAUUUGCAUUUUUCACUUUUAGAAAUGCGAUCUCCUUCUUAACGGAUUUUUGUAAGCACCCUUUGUAUACCAGGAUACUAAUCCUGCUGUUGAGUAAAUAUUUGUUUACCUGCUACAUUUGGAAGUGCUCUAAUUUGGGUAUAACUUACUUAAUUUCAAUUUACGUGCAAGAUACUCUUACUAAAUUUGUUCCCAGUGGGACGCAAAAUCUCUAGUAGACGCUCUUUAAAAUUUCUACGUGAUACAGAGAAUAUUUUUCAUUUGUUAAAUAAGCUUAUAAAUAAAAU